UACGAAGGGGGCUAGCGUUGCUCGGAAUUACUGGGCGUAAAGCGCACGUAGGCGGCUUCUUAAGUCGGUGGUGAAAUCCUGGAGCUCAACUCCAGAACUGCCUUCGAUACUGGGAAGCUCGAGUCCGGGAGAGGUGAGUGGAAUUCCGAGUGUAGAGGUGAAAUUCGUAGAUAUUCGGAGGAACACCAGUGGCGAAGGCGGCUCACUGGUCCAUUACUGACGCUGAGGUGCGAAAGCGUGGGGAGCAAACAGG
rnacentral:rRNA from 1 species